CCUCCGUCCACAGUUUUACACUAUUUAUAUCUAAAGUUUAACCGUUCGUUUUAUUUUUUAAAAAAAUUAUGAUUAAUAUUUUUAUUGUUAUUAGAUGAUAAAAUAUGAAUAGUACUUUAUGUGUGACUAAUUGUUUUUAAUUUUUUUAUAUAAAUUUUUCAAAUAAAACGGACGAUCAAACGUAGGACACGGAUACUCACGAUUACACUUAUU
rfam:Oryza rufipogon genomic scaffold, chr01